UACGAAGGGGGCUAGCGUUGUUCGGAUUUACUGGGCGUAAAGCGCACGUAGGCGGAUCGUUAAGUCGGGGGUGAAAUCCUGGAGCUCAACUCCAGAACUGCCUUCGAUACUGGCGAUCUUGAGUCCGGAAGAGGUGAGUGGAACUCCUAGUGUAGAGGUGGAAUUCGUAGAUAUUAGGAAGAACACCAGUGGCGAAGGCGGCUCACUGGCCCGGUACUGACGCUGAGGUACGAAAGCGUGGGGAGCAAACAGG
rnacentral:rRNA from 1 species